rnacentral:rRNA from 1 species
AGCGAACGUUAGCGGCGCGCCUAACACAUGCAAGUCGCACGAGAAAGGGCUUCGGCCCCAGUAAAGUGGCGCACGGGUGCGUAACACGUAGGCAAUCUACCUUUAGGCGGGGGAUAACGUUUCGAAAGAGACGCUAAUACCGCAUGAGACCACGGACGCUUCGGCGACUGCGGUCAAAGCUGGCCUCUUCAUGAAAGCUAGCACCUAAGGACGAGCCUGCGGCCCAUCAUGCUAGUUGGUAGGGUAACGGCCUACCAAGGCGAAGACGGGUAGCUGGUCUGAGAGGAUGAUCAGCCACACUGGCACUGAAACACGGGCCAGACUCCUACGGGAGGCAGCAGUGGGAAUAUUGGACAAUGGGCGCAAGCCUGAUCCAGCGACGCCGCGUGAGUGAUGAAGG